GCAGCUCGCGCGCGCAAGCAACAGCAGCAGCGCAGCGCCAGCCCAACUGCCGGUCCAUUUCGGCUUAGCGCGCAGCCCACACCCACAGCUUGUCUGUUUUUCCUUUCUCUUCUCUCUGCCGCUGACCACUCUGACCCACACGUCAUCCCUUUCCUCAUCCGUGUUCUUCCUGGACACCCAAUCCCGAACCAAAUCUGCUUCGGUUCGGCUCAACCCUUGCUCGUCGCGCACUCCGACCCUCAUAUAAAUGUCCCCCACAUCUAACUCGUCCGAUUUUUGCGAAAAUCGUGAUCUACUGUGCCCUACAGAGCCGCCCCGAUCUCGCCGCAGUCCGCCGCCCGAAGCUCCUGUCGCCGGUCUGUUUCGCCGCCGUCAGAGGGGGAGCACCAGGACGACGCCCGCAACCCCAACCCGAAGAUCACCGCCGCCACCAACAACGGACGCCCCGCUUCGACCUGCUUCAACCCACCGUCCCCGACGAUCACCAGGACCACCUCGACCUCCUCGUCGAUCGGUACCUCUCCACCCCCUUCACUGACUCCAAGGGCCACCGGAACGGCUGCCGGCAACAACCUCGAGCCGCUCGCGCCGUCAUCUUCCUCAAGUCCGGUGACCACCUUGCUCUGUUCUCCGAUUGUCCCGAGUGUGAAGCGGAUCAUAAUUAAGCGUUAGAGUACUUCGACACCUUUCAAGGCAAGUUUGCACUUUUGAUUUUGCUUAUCCUAUAUUCUGUUAUGCGCGUGUGGUUUUAUGCUAUGCUAUAUGUAUCGCUUGAUAUGUGUAUUCCGUGUUACCAUGUUUUGUUGUUGAUUGUCGUAUGUGAUGGUGUGAUCAACUUGCUAUGAUAGAGGCGGUCAUGUGUCGAGUGAUCCAUGAAAGUGGUGAGUGUUUAUAGCCGUAGGCUCGGGAUUAUUAACCAGGUGAAUGUGUCACUGGCAGAGCGCUCUAUUGUCCCUAGAGAAUGCGCCAUUGACAGGGCACACUUGAGGCGAGGUAUAGUUUUUGGAACUUAAAUCAGGUGAAUGAGUCAUUGGCAGAGCGCUCUAUUGUUCCUAGAGAAUGCGCCACUCACAGAGCGCACUUGAGAUACUUCUGAAGUUCUUGUCGUGUUACUUAGAAUCUUUGGGUUUAUCUUGGGCGAAUAUAUUAGAGACGGUUAUGAGUUCAUUUAGUGGAGGUAGGUGAAGACUUUCUUCUCCAAAUUAACUUGAGUGUUUUGUUUGUCAUACUUUACUUGUGGAUGUAGGUUUUCUAUAUCAUAUUGUGUGAUUUGCCAAUACAUUCAACGUAUUGACCCUUUGUGGCUGCAACUUAUCA